rnacentral:lncRNA from 1 species
GAGCCCGGAAAACAAUCCAAUUGUAAUCUGCGGGAUUAUAGUGAAUUUCCAAGGGGAUGCUUGGGGAGUGGACGUAGGUGCUUAGGAGAGCACCGAACCACUAUACUUCUUGUGUGUUUGUAUUGUGUAUUGUUCUAACUUCACUACACGCACUCAAUUAAUAUUAACUAAACCACUCACUCAUCAAUUGACUUAAUUAAAGGAUUAAAAAUUUAGAAAAACUAAUUCACCCCCCCUCUUGGCUUGUCAUCUUGGGCAACAAGUGGUAUCAGAGCUAGGUGCUCUCAUAG